rnacentral:misc_RNA from 1 species
AACAUCGCGCACCUGCGGGAACCUGCGGAGGGAUCAUCAUUGAAAACAAAAAAUUUGAACAAGAGGAUUUUUUGUUUGAGAGGGGAAGGGGAUAAAAACUCUGCAUUUUGUUCCCUGAGCUUUGAGAACAAGCCUCUUGGGCAAACAACCAAUCUUGCAUGACUAGGAAAAAAAUGGGAUAAUGAUUUGGUGCACACACAAACACACAAGUUCUUGUCUGACAAGUGGCUUGCAUGAUAA